AUCUUGCACCUACACCAUUUGAACAAGUCAGUACAGCAUCAACCAAUCUGCCAACUACUGCAACAUCAAUCAAUCUGCCUUCGGAAAGAAAGAGAGGGUACUCAAGCAAGUGCAAGAAGACUGUUGAAAAGGAUAAAGAGGGAAGCCGAAGAUGAAGGAAUUGCGUCACCAACCGUGGCUAAAGAACACCAGCAGCAGCAGAAGCGUACCUGAAUCACACAAACAUAUAUGUGUGUGUGUGUGUGUGUGUGUGUGUGUAUGUCUGUCUGAUACUAUAAUAAUAUAUGUUAUGCACUUGCAGCUACACUGACUACAGUUUUUGUAUCACUGUAGUCACUGAGUCAACUGGAGCAUUUUGUAUAUCUACAGCUGGAUGACAGGCCUGGAUUUCGGGUAAUUUCAGAACUGUUUUUUUUGGUGCUGGAGUGGUGAUAUCGUUUUGAGGCUUUUCACAGUCGAAGUUUUGAGGUAGACUAUAACAUUAACAUUAGGUUGGUCUUUGCUUUCAGCUCUUUCCUCAAUCGGAAGCCAAAUUACUUGGAUCAAGAAGCUUCCACCAGCCAAAACAUUUGAGCAUCCCACAAUUUUGGAGUUUUUAAGUGUUGCGAGAACUGCAAGGAGGUGAUCAUUUUGUUGUUUUUGAAAUUUCCCACCCCCCCCCCCC